rnacentral:lncRNA from 1 species
UCCACUUAUAAGUGAGAGGUUUUACAUUUGAUUCUCUCCAAAGUGAAGUUAAACCACAUUAUUAUAGCAAACUCUUUGUAAGGCUUUGCUCACUCUUCCACCCUUUAGUGUAGAAAGUAAAUACUAUCGUUUGUUAAAAAAAAAAAAAAAAACAAUGACACAUGCACAAUAAUUUACAUACUGAUCAUAAAUAAAUUUAUAUAUAGGUAAAUUAAUUAGUACAAAAAUAUGGACAUGUUAUUUAAUUCAAAGUUAAUUUAUCUAUAGUUUAUGUAAAAUAUAAACGAAGUAUGUGCAUAUCAAAAAUUUACAAUUAUCUUAGUCACUGUUAUAAAAGACCAAAUUUUUUAACACCAACAAAUAGUACACCUAUUAUUUAAAUUUUAAAAAUGACAUUUUGGAUGCGGUCCCUAACUAUCAAUAUUCUUUGACUGAAACAUUGUUGGUUUUCAAUUUUUAAUCGAAGUCCCUGAAAUUAAUGUGAUAAUGUAUUUCUAUGUAGGUUACUAUAUUUUUUAAAUUAAAAUUUGAAAUUUAUAGUUGUUUGUAUUAAUGAGAUUUUAAAUAAAAAAACCCAUAAUUUGUGAUUAAAAUUAUUAAAAUAUACAUUAUACUCUCCAAUAUAUUGUGUGUGUGUGUGUGUGUAAACAUGGGUACAUUCAUUAAAAUUAACAAAAAAAUUAUUGUACCAAAAUAUGGGUACAUUCUUCAAAACCACACAAAAAACAAUAGAUAUUAGGCUUAAUAACAUUAGUAAAUUUCUUUAAUUAAACUUGACAUGGAUACAUUCUCAAAUCAAGAAAAAGAAUGUACCCAUAUAAGUUUAAAAAUGGAUUAGAAAAAUAUUGAAUAGAUUUUAUAUAAAAAUAGGGUUCAUUUUACUACAACAAAUUGGUAUAUUUAAGAAUGGGUACAUUUUAAGAUUAAAAAUUUGAAAAAUUACAUGAAUGGGUAAUACAAGAUUAAAAAAUUGGAAACCCUUUUAUAAAAAAUUAAGGGGUACAAACUUAUUCUAAUUUUUUAUUUAUUUUGGAAAUGUUUUGAAUUGAAAAUUAUUUAGGAGUUUAAUAAAGGUGUGAGCAUUAAAAUCCUAAAUCAAUUAUUAAUUUUUAUUUUAAAAAUUAUGUAACUGACAUGUAAAUUCAUUAUUGCAGUAAUGGUAGGGACCUUGAUCAAAAUCUGAAAACUAAUAAAGUUUCAAUCAAAGAACGUUAGUAACUAAGGACCUAAUACUAAUUUUUCCAUUUUAAAAUGUUAGACCACUUUGAAAAAAAAGGAAGAUGGAAGCAAGGUUUAAGUGUUAUUCUCAUUCUAGUGUUUUAUUUCUCCACCCAUUUUUUAAUGAAAAUUUUAAUUAUAAGUUUGCCUAUUUGUAAAAUGACUGAUAAGAAAGAUUAUAAUAAAAAUAGGUUGGGGGUAAAAAGGUAACAUGAGCCCUACUAAUAUUCGGUUUUGGAAGAAAUGGAUAAUAUGUAAGCCAAAUUCAUAAAAAAGACAUUAAAGAUGAGGAUAGAAGAAAUUCUGAAAAGAGAAAGUGUGGAUGUCUUUCCCAAUUAAAAGGUAAUAACUAGCAACUUAUGAUGAUUGAAUAUUAAUGAUAAUUAGUUGCUUAUAGAUUAUCGUCGGAGGAGACUUCAUUGUUGGGAAAAUUGUAUUUUAAUUUUUUAAGAAUAAUGGUGGGUGGGGAAAGAGCAUAUUAGAGGUUAUUUUAGGAAUAAUAGUGAGUGGGGAAAUAACAUUUCAAUUUUUUUUUUAACUUUUGUGUGUGGAUGAGAUUAUAAUGUGAGUGAAAAAAUAGGACAUGUGGUGGGUCUAGCAGCUCUAUAAAAAAUCCUUGAAGCUAUUGAGUAUUACGGUUGAGUAGUAUUCCUCUUUACUUGUAAGUGAAAUGUCUUCGGUUCGACUCUCGUCAAAGACGAAUUUGAACGACAUCAUUGCUAGUAAAGAGGAAGAAGGAGAAGAAGGGGAAGGAAGAAAGAGGAAGGAAGAAGGAGAAGAAGGAGGAAGAAAAAAAAAAGUUGUAGUCGGAGGAAGAAGAAGAAG